rnacentral:rRNA from 1 species
CAGCCGCCGCGGUAAUACGUAGGGUGCAAGCGUUAAUCGGAAUUACUGGGCGUAAAGCGUGCGCAGGCGGUUAUGCAAGACGGAGGUGAAAUCCCCGGGCUCAACCUGGGAACUGCCUUUGUGACUGCACAGCUAGAGUGCGGCAGAGGGGGAUGGAACUCCGCGUGUAGCAGUGAAAUGCGUAGAUAUGCGGAGGAACACCGAUGGCGAAGGCAAUCCCCUGGGCCUGCACUGACGCUCAUGCACGAAAGCGUGGGGAGCGAACAGGAUUAGAUACCCGUGUAGUCCCUGUCUCUUAUAC